rnacentral:rRNA from 1 species
CGGGACGGGGUGGAGGUAAAGUGUCUGGGAAACUAGCCUGAUGAGGGGGAGUAACUACUGGAAACGGUAGCUAAUACCGCAUAACGUCGCAAGACCAAAGAGGGGGACCUUCGGGCCUCUUGCCAUCGGAUGUGCCCAGAUGGGAUUAGCUAGUAGGUGGGGUAACGGCUCACCUAGGCGACGAUCCCUAGCUGGUCUGAGAGGAUGACCAGCCACACUGGAACUGAGACACGGUCCAG